UAUGAGCAAAAGACUAAUAGGACACAGAAACAAUGUAAACAAGCUAGAGAAAUUGAUGAACGAACACCAGACUAACACAGAAGCAGCCAAAGAAACACUAAUAGAGACAACCACAGCCCUGAUCCAACACUGCAUACAACACAACCAUAGAUUUAACUUAGACCUAACAGAGAUUAUAGACCACAGCUACAAACCGACACUACUUCCAUUCCUCGAGAUGUGCCACAUCACAAACACAGACCACACAAUUAAUAAACGGACAGACAUUGAUAGACUAAGUAUCACAUACGCAGCAGUGUUGCACAGCAUCAAAAAUUCAUCCAAACGAUACACACUUGACACACAAGAAAAUACUGAAUACGAAACGUAGUUAUUAAGAUAGGGCAGUUUUCGCUACCAACAAAUUUUAAACAUAAUUGAGGGGAUGAUAAAGGCAAAAUUGCGCCAUUGCCAAAUGUCCGUUGAAAGUUAUUACAAGCAAAAUAAAUGUAAAACAAUUAGUUUCCGUAAAUUUUAUUAGAUCAGACAAGUAACUAGACAACAUUUAAAAUGACUAUAAUUUUACAGCAUGUACCAACAAAUUAAUGACAGGACAGUUACAGUUAGACGAAACACAAGACCAAAAACGACCAAAUUAGUUUCCCCCUGAAGAAGACACUAACCCCGUGUCGAAACGUUGGGCAAGUAA